rnacentral:rRNA from 1 species
UACGUAGGGGGCAAGCGUUAUCCGGAUUUACUGGGUGUAAAGGGAGCGUAGACGGCAGUGCAAGUCUGAAGUGAAAGGCAAGGGCUCAACCCUUGGACUGCUUUGGAAACUGUGCUGCUGGAGUGUCGGAGAGGCAAGUGGAAUUCCUAGUGUAGCGGUGAAAUGCGUAGAUAUUAGGAGGAACACCAGUGGCGAAGGCGGCCUGCUGGACGAUGACUGACGUUGAGGCUCGAAAGCGUGGGGAGCAAACAGG